GUCCACGCCGUAAACGAUGGAUACUAGCUGUUGGGGGCAACUUCAGUGGCUAAGCGAAAGUGAUAAGUAUCCCACCUGGGGAGUACGGGCGCAAGCCUGAAACUCAAAGGAAUUGACGGGGGCCCGCACAAGCGGUGGAGCAUGUGGUUUAAUUCGAUGAUACGCGAGGAACCUUACCAAGGCUUAAAUGCAGACUGACCGAUUUGGAAACAGAUCUUUCGCAAGACAGUUUACAAGGUGCUGCAUGGUUGUCGU
rnacentral:rRNA from 1 species